rnacentral:misc_RNA from 1 species
GACACCGGCACAUGGGCGAACGCGGCCGCGACCGCCUGCGCCUGAUCGACCGACAGCUCGUCGAACAGCUCGCCGGUAUCCGCAAAGACGACCGUCGGGUUCCGCGAUCCGAAGCGGUAGACAGGACGAUCGAGCAGCGUGGCUAAGGUCGCCCGGCCGAUCGGGUCGAGGUCGGCGCGUUCAGCGGCCUGCGCCGGCGUCAGCUGCACGCGCGAAAAGUCCACCGCCUGCAAACGCUCGAGCCGCAGCUCCGGCGUCACCCGCGGCAUCCCGCCCCAAUACAUCAUUGUGAUGCCCGUGGCGAACCACAUGAUGACGAGCAGGCUGAGGACGAUCCCCAGAUAGCGGUGCGAGAGGAUUACUGCCCGGCGGAAAAGGCGCAUCGGCGGCAGUGUAACAGGCCUAAGGGCUAAGGCCGAAGGCUGAAGGGCUGGUCCGGGAAGAAGGCAAAAGGGCGACGGCCGAAGGCCCAAGGGCUGGUCCAGGAAGAAGGCGAAAGGGCGACGGCCGAAGGCACAAGGGCUGGUCCAGGAAGAAGGCGAAAGGGCGACGGCCGAAGGCACAAGGGCUGGUCAAGGAUUAGGGCACAAGGAUUAAGGAGAGCCGGAGGGAACAGGGACGGCAGUACGCAGUUCUCGCCAGCAACGACGGCUUCUCGCGUUGAGGUUUCUGCGACGGCACCGGUCGGUCGAAUGCUUCACGGCCUGGUCGCAUCGCUCGAGCGCGCACGUUGAACGACGGACUGCCGCCCUGACUCCUGUUGCCUGGACCCUAGACCAACCCUUCGGCCUUAGCCCUUCGGCCUUUGGCCUCCUGAUCUCACCCCUGAUGCCUUGACCCUUCUUCCUGGGCCAGCCCUUAAGCCUUGGGCCUGAUUCCUGAGGCCUGCUCUUAUGGGUUCUUGCAGC